rnacentral:rRNA from 1 species
UUGUCGUCAGCUCGUGUCGUGGGAUGUUGGUUAAGUCCGCAACGAGCGCAACCCUCGACCUUAGUUGCCAGCAUUCAGUUGGGCACUCUAAGGUGACUGCCGGCUAAAAGUCGGAGGAAGGUGGGGAUGACGUCAAAUCAUCAUGCCCCUUAUGACCUGGGCUACACACGUGCUACAAUGGGCGGUACAAAGGGUCGCGAACCCGCGAGGGGGAGCCAAUCCCAAAAAGCCGCUCUCAGUUCGGAUUGCAGGCUGCAACUCGCCUGCAUGAAGCCGGAAUCGCUAGUAAUCGCGGAUCAGCAUGCCGCGGUGAAUACGUUCCCGGGCCUU